rnacentral:rRNA from 1 species
UACGUAGGGUGCAGGCGUUGUCCGGAAUUAUUGGGCGUAAAGAGCUCGUAGGCGGUUUGUCGCGUCUGCUGUGAAAUCCCAGGGCUUAACCCUGGGCCUGCAGUGGGUACGGGCAAGCUAGAGUGCGGUAGGGGAGAUCGGAAUUCCUGGUGUAGCGGUGAAAUGCGCAGAUAUCAGGAGGAACACCGGUGGCGAAGGCGGAUCUCUGGGCCGUAACUGACGCUGAGGAGCGAAAGCAUGGGUAGCGAACAGG